AUCUUGUUGGGAUAACUCAGUUGGUAGAGCAUGAGACUCUUAAUCUCAGGGUUGUGGGUUCAAGCCCCACAUUGGGUG